UACGGGGGGAGCAAGCGUUGUUCGGAUUUACUGGGCGUAAAGGGCGCGUAGGCGGCCACCGCAAGUCAGUUGUGAAAUCUCUGGGCUUAACCCAGAAAGGUCAACUGAUACUGCGGGGCUAGAGUGCAGAAGGGGCAACUGGAAUUCUCGGUGUAGCGGUGAAAUGCGUAGAUAUCGAGAGGAACACCUGCGGCGAAGGCGGGUUGCUGGGCUGACACUGACGCUGAGGCGCGAAAGCCAGGGGAGCGAACGGG
rnacentral:rRNA from 1 species